rnacentral:rRNA from 1 species
UACGAAGGGGGCUAGCGUUGUUCGGAAUCACUGGGCGUAAAGCGCACGUAGGCGGAUCUUUAAGUCAGGGGUGAAAUCCCGAGGCUCAACCUCGGAACUGCCUUUGAUACUGGGGAUCUCGAGUCCGGGAGAGGGUGAGUGGAACUGCGAGUGUAGAGGUGAAAUUCGUAGAUAUUCGCAAGAACACCAGUGGCGAAGGCGGCUCACUUGGCCCGGAACUGACGCUGAGGUGC